UCCCCGAUAGCUCAGUCGGUAGAGCAAAUGGCUGUUAACCAUUGGGUCGCUGGUUCGAAUCCGGCUCGGGGAGCCA
rnacentral:tRNA from 4 species